CCGGACACUCUAGCAGGGUUGCACCGCCCAAAGCAGCCCCGCCCCACUGCCCC
rnacentral:ncRNA from 1 species